rnacentral:rRNA from 1 species
UACGGGGGGAGGCAAGCGUUGUUCGGAUUUACUGGCGUAAAGGGCGCGUAGGCGGUCAGCACAAGUCAGUUGUGAAAGUCUCCGGGGCUUAACUCGGAAAGGUCAACUGAUACUGUGCGACUAGAGUGCAGAAGGGGCAACUGGAAUUCUCGGUGUAGCGGUGAAAUGCGUAGAUAUCGAGAGGAACACCUGCGGCGAAGCGGGUUGCUGGGCUGACACUGACGCUGAUGCGCGAAAGCCAGGGGAGCGAACGGG